UGAUAAUUGCGCAACCAGGCCAGAUUGUUUCAGAUAUCUCACGAGUCCUUUAGCAGCAGAUAUGGUCUCUCCUCUAUCCACCAGGCCACAUUGUUUU